CCUACGGGGCGCAGCAGUGAGGAAUAUUGGUCAAUGGACGAGAGUCUGAACCAGCCAAGUAGCGUGAAGGAUGACUGCCCUAUGGGUUGUAAACUUCUUUUAUAUGGGAAUAAAAUGUUCCACGUGUGGGAUUUUGUAUGUACCAUAUGAAUAAGGAUCGGCUAACUCCGUGCCAGCAGCAGCGGUAAUACGGAGGAUCCGAGCGUUAUCCGGAUUUAUUGGGUUUAAAGGGAGCGUAGGUGGAUUGUUAAGUCAGUUGUGAAAGUUUGCGGCUCAACCGUAAAAUUGCAGUUGAAACUGGCAGUCUUGAGUACAGUAGAGGUGGGCGGAAUUCGUGGUGUAGCGGUGAAAUGCUUAGAUAUCACGAAGAACUCCGAUUGCGAAGGCAGUUCACUGGACUGCAACUGACACUGAGGCUCGAAAGUGUGGGUAUCAAACAGGAUUAGAUACCCUGGUAGUC
rnacentral:rRNA from 1 species